AAAGAAAGAAAAAGAGAAGAAGAAAGAGGGAAAAUGGGGCAUCCGAAUCAUGAAGACAGAGUGUUCCUCUUCUUCACUGCUGCUUCUUCUUCACCCGAAAUCGCGGGCCGUACAUUUCCUUACUCUCUUCUCUAGGGUUUCGCUUCGCUUCGCUCCGCUUCUCAUUGCUUUCCUGCUGUUUUUUCUCGGACAAGUUUUAACCGGACGUUCUGGAUUGGCCAUCCGACCGGUCAGUAAUUUGGUGCAGCAGAUACUAGCUCAAGCAUCAUUUUUGUUGCUGGUCGCUUCUCUAUCCGGAAAUACUUAUACAACACUAAAGUUUUGUUAACUACCUUUUAAGGGAGGCAUUUGUUCCACUCCGAGUUUCUGACAUAAACCGCAACUGAGUUGAUAUAUCACGAGGCCAUUACUUUCUGAAUCUGAAGUUUGCUGGCCGCGGGAAGUGUAUUGCUUUGUAACUUUAAGUUGUUGGAAACGGCUCCCCAGAAAGCUUGGAGGCUUUAAGAAGUUUAUCCAUUUAUCAAUGCCUUAACUAACUCAUGGAAAACAAUGAUUUAUUAACUAAAAGACAUCGUAUCAUUUUUUUAUUUCUAUUUCACCACCGGCAACACUAUGUUAAUGCAAAUUCUUUUCUUUGAAUAUUAUUUAUCCUCUUCUGAUUGUUGUAUAUUUUUCUCCG
rnacentral:misc_RNA from 1 species